rnacentral:rRNA from 1 species
AGAGUUUGAUCAUGGCUCAGGGUGAACGCUGGCGGCGUGCUUGACACAUGCAAGUCGAACGGUAUGUGGCAACACAUAGAGUGGCGAACGGGUGAGUAACACGUGGGAACGUACCCUACGCAGGGGGGAUAACUGACCGAAAGGACAGCUAAUACCUCAUAAGACCGAAAGGUGAAAGGUGCAACUGCACCGGCGAAGGAGCGGCCCGCGGACCAUCAGCUAGUUGGUGGGGUAAGAGCCUACCAAGGCAACGACGGAUAGCCGGCGUGAGAGCGUGGCCGGCCACAAGGACACUGAGAUACGGGUCCUACUCCUACGGGAGGCAGCAGUGCGGAAUUUUAGAUAAUGGAGGCAACUCUGAUCUAGCGACGCCGCGUGCAGGAAGAAGGUCUUCGGAUUGUAAACUGCUGUGGUAAGGGAAAAAUGCCAUGUAGAGUGGAAAGCUACAUGGGGGGAUGGUACUUUACUAGAAAGCCCCGGCUAACUACGUGCCAGCAGCCGCGGUAAUACGUAGGGGGCGAGCGUUACCCGGAAUCACUGGGCGUAAAGGGAGCGUAGGUGGCCUGACAUGUCAACUGUGAAAACCCGGAGCUCAACUCCGGACUUGCAGUUGAAACUGCCAGGCUUGAGGACGGUAGAGGAAGGCGGAACUGCCAGUGUAGGGGUAAAAUCCUUAGAUAUUGGCAGGAACGCCGGUGACGAAGGUGGUUUUCUGGGCCGGUUCUGACACUGAUGCUCGAAAGCCAGGGGAGCGAACGGGAUUAGAUACCCCGGUAGUCCUGGCCCUAAACGAUGUUCACUAGGUGUGGGGAGCGGAAAGCUUUCCGUGCUAAAGCUAACGCAAUAAGUGAACCGCCUGGGGAGUACGCCCGCAAGGGUGAAACUCAAAUGAAUUGACGG